rnacentral:rRNA from 1 species
CAUCGCCACGGUAAUACAGAGGGUGCGAGCGUUAAUCGGAUUUACUGGGCGUAAAGCGUGCGUAGGCGGCUUCUUAAGUCGGAUGUGAAAUCCCUGAGCUUAACUUAGGAAUUGCAUUCGAUACUGGGAAGCUAGAGUAUGGGAGAGGAUGGUAGAAUUCCAGGUGUAGCGGUGAAAUGCGUAGAGAUCUGGAGGAAUACCGAUGGCGAAGGCAGCCAUCUGGCCUAAUACUGACGCUGAGGUACGAAAGCAUGGGGAGCAAACAGGAUUAGAUACCCGUGUAGUCCCUGUCUCUUAUACA